rnacentral:rRNA from 1 species
UACGUAGGGUGCAAGCGUUAAUCGGAAUUACUGGGCGUAAAGCGUGCGCAGGCGGUUUUGUAAGACAGGCGUGAAAUCCCCGGGCUCAACCUGGGAAUUGCGCUUGUGACUGCAAAGCUGGAGUGCGGCAGAGGGGGAUGGAAUUCCGCGUGUAGCAGUGAAAUGCGUAGAUAUGCGGAGGAACACCAAUGGCGAAGGCAAUCCCCUGGGCCUGUACUGACGCUCAUGCACGAAAGCGUGGGGCGCAAACAGG